rnacentral:lncRNA from 1 species
CACGAACCCAGACCAACUCCGGACACAUCUGAACAUCUGAAGUUCCCUGGUAUGACUUAGCUGAUAGCUCAUCCUUCACAAGAAUGCUUACAUGAAUGGCACCCGAGUUGGAAGGAAAAAAGAUCCAGUGGAUCAUUUCAGAAUUUAGUUUGGCUCUCCCCACACAGGAUUUAACCAGGCUGACAGAUUCAGCACAGGAAAGUAUUUUAAUGUAAUGAUAUACCACCACUUCUAGACCCAAUGACAAGAUGAAAAUCCAAGAGCAGGCAUAAAACACCUAUAAAGAAAUGACAGAGCUUGAAGUCAGUGUGAAUAAUUUCUGAAUCAUAAAUUCACAAAGGGAACAGGGAAAAGAAAGGAGAAAAGGAGAAGCAAAGAGGAGGGGGAAAAGUUGAGUAGCUUGUUCCACCCACCUCAAAU